UACGGGGGGGGCAAGCGUUGUUCGGAAUUACUGGGCGUAAAGGGCUCGUAGGUGGCCAACUAAGUCAGACGUGAAAUCCCUCGGCUUAACCGGGGAACUGCGUCUGAUACUGGAUGGCUAGAGACUGGGAGAGGGAUGCGGAAUUCCAGGUGUAGCGGUGAAAUGCGUAGAUAUCUGGAGGAACACCGGUGGCGAAGGCGGCAUCCUGGACCAACACUGACGCUGAGGAGCGAAAGCCAGGGGAGCAAACGGG
rnacentral:rRNA from 1 species